rnacentral:rRNA from 1 species
UGGGGAAUUUUGGACAAUGGGCGAAAGCCUGAUCCAGCAAUGCCGCGUGUGUGAAGAAGGCCUUCGGGUUGUAAAGCACUUUUGUCCGGAAAGAAAUGGCUCUGGUUAAUACCUGGGGUCGAUGACGGUACCGGAAGAAUAAGGACCGGCUAACUACGUGCCAGCAGCCGCGGCAAUACGUAGGGUCCAAGCGUUAAUCGGAAUUACUGGGCGUAAAGCGUGCGCAGGCGGUUGUGCAAGACCGAUGUGAAAUCCCCGAGCUUAACUUGGGAAUUGCAUUGGUGACUGCACGGCUAGAGUGUGUCAGAGGGGGGUAGAAUUCCACGUGUAGCAGUGAAAUGCGUAGAGAUGUGGAGGAAUACCGAUGGCGAAGGCAGCCCCCUGGGAUAACACUGACGCUCAUGCACGAAAGCGUGGGGAGCAAACAGG